GACGAACCGUGCGAACGUUGUUCGGAUUCACUGGGCUUACAGGGCGCGUAGGCGGGCUGCCAAGUCCGGGGUGAAAUCUUUCGGCCUAACCGGAAAAGUGCCUUGGAUACUGGCGGCCUGGAGGGAGGUAGGGGCACGCGGAACUUCCGGUGGAGCGGUGAAAUGCGUAGAUAUCGGAAGGAACGCCGGUGGCGAAAGCGGCGUGCUGGACCUCUUCUGACGCUGAGGCGCGAAAGCGUGGGGAGCGAACAGG
rnacentral:rRNA from 1 species